AAAAUGUUUUUAAUGUCAUUAUUGAUAUAAUUUAUCCUCCAUUGAAUUUAUUUUAAUUGAGUUGGUUGAACAUAAACCACUUAUACUAAAGAAGUGAAAAUAAUUUAAUUCCAUUAAAUUACAUUAUUUUGAGUUGAACUAACUUAAAUCACUCACAUCUAUUAUAUAUAAUUAUUUCAAUUCAAAGCAAUUAAAAGAAAAUUUGUUGGACUAACUCAAAUUUAUUACAUUGUAUGAAUGUAGAUUGUUUGAGUUCACCCUACAUAUAUUUAUUGGAUGGAAAAACUGCCCUCAAUUAAAAUGAGUUCUUCCAAUGAAUUAUUUUUUUGAGUGUAAGACCUGCAUGAAGGUAAAAAG